GCCGGGCAUGGUGGCGCAUGCCUGUGGUCCUAGCUACUCAGGAGGCUGAGGUGGGAGGAUGGCUUGAGCCUGGGAGGCAGAGGUUGAAGUGAGCUGAGAUUGUGCCACUCUACUCUAGCCUGGGCAGCAGAGCCAGAUCCUGUCUCAA
rfam:Pan troglodytes isolate Yerkes chimp pedigree #C0471 (Clint) chromosome 1, whole genome shotgun sequence.